rnacentral:rRNA from 1 species
UACGUGAGGGACCGAGCGUUUGUCCGGAAUCAUUGGGCGUAAAGAGCGUGUAGGCGGCUUGUUAAGUCUUGCGUGAAAUCUCGGGGCUCAACCCCGAGUCGGCCGUGCGAACUGCUAUGGCUCGAGCACUGUGAGAGGAUGGUGGAAUUCCCGGUGUAGCGGUGAAAUGCGUAGAGAUCGGGAGGAACACCCGUGGCGAAGGCGGCCAUCUGGACCAGUACGUGACGCUGAGGCACGAAAGCGUGGGGAAGCAACAGGG